rnacentral:sRNA from 1 species
AAUCAGUGUGUCGGGCCCCAAAACAGAAGAGCAAUGUGAUUUCAUGUAGAACCCUAUUUGUAUGCUGCCACAGCCCUAUGGUUUGCUUUACUUCGGAUUCAUAUAGAAAUCCAAGAAUUUGUAGUAAGAGAAAGAAAACACCAUCUCUGCUCAGCUGAGCUGGCCCGUGUGCCGAACUAGGAAGAUGGCUUCUUUCCUCUGGAGAGGAUAUGAUCUUUUCAAGAUUGCUUUUUUACACAUCACCAUGGGGCUGGCCUGGUUGCAUGCUGAAGCUGUGAAACCUGAGUGUGUAUCUGUGCAAAGCUGGGGUCGAAUCAGGGCCCCUAGGGGCCCUGCACUGGUUUUGCUGAGUGGAACAUACAGGUUGGGGUUUUUGGAGGCUGGAUGGGAAAGAGGAUGGAGAGAUGAGGGUGUUGGCAGUGAGGGAGGAACUUUGGGGAACAGAAAUAGCUAAAAGGAAGUUUAAUGGACUUUCUCGUACACGGUGCGUGAUGUGAAUCCUUGUCCAUGUCACCUCACGAGGGCUUUGCACACCGUUCCGGAAGGCAAAAGCCUUGUAUGCCUGCAAAGCUGAACAUGACUCAGAACUUUCGUUCACAGCAGGCACGGUCUUCGAUAAUGUUCACCCAUCUCAGGAGCCUGGCUGGUUGGAGGGGACUCUGAAUGGAAAGACUGGCCUCAUCCCUGAGAAUUACGUGGAGUUCCUCUAACCGUGGGCCCCAGCAGAACUGCUGAGCUUUACAUGGUAUCCAUGACAACUGCUGAUUCCAGUGUCGAGGCCAUUUCUCUUUGCCACUGAGAAAUGCAGCGUGACUGACUCUGUUGCUACCUGUCAACAUGAAUGUUUCUGUGAGCUCUGGUGUCACUCAUCUCCAUGAUCAUCUCAGCCAACACGCAUCAAUACUGCAAGAAAAGAAGUCAAUCAGCAGAGGAGACCAUUUGAUAACUAAGAGGAAGACUUGCAAAGCCAUUUUCUCAUGAGUACCCCGAAUAGGGGGCACUCAUUUCGUUUCAACGGUCCAAACACCCAACCUUCAGAAAGAGGAAGUCAGAUAGAAAUAGUCCCCGAGAGCACACUGCGUAGCUAAGUCUGCUGGGGCUGGGUGAAGAAAUUGGCGCUGAGAUCCAGGCUGGAUCCAUUGCUUUUGUUUACAGUAGGCACUCUCUCUACCCCACCUCUCAGUACUUGAGACUUAAAGUGCUACAGGCAGCUGGGUCUGUUUGCAUGCAGGAUGAAGAGGGUUAAAGCACUGUUUAUAUAUGAUCCAAUCUCUCACCAUCUCUAAAGCAGCCGUUGGCCCGUCAUCAACGAGAUACAAUCCAGUCUUCUCAUGCACGGGAACACACACACCCUGCGUUUCUCCCUCCCAGGCUAGGAACCUCUCUGCCACCAAGGGCUGCCAUACAUCGCCUAGUAACCACGGCAACCCAACCUACUCUAAAACCAAACCAAAAAAAAUAAAAUAACACAUCCUCUUUGCGUGACACAUUUUUUCUCUCCCCUUUUUGGCACACUUUUUUUGAAUGGUUUUCUAACAACUUGAAGCACAGGAUCAAGGAAUUAGGGUGGUCUACUUGAGGCAGAUGAGAUAGUAGCUGGGAGCUGUUCCCUUUCUGAUGAAUUUCAGCAGCAUCGGGAUAUAUUUGGAGCACACCUUAGUAACCUCUUGAGAUUAAAUUACAUAGUCUUAAUAUUUCUGUUCCUCCAUGCAACUGAUGUUUGUUUUUUAAAGGGUAAGAUGCUGCCUCCCAAUGGGUGACGCCAUCUGACUGGUUUCCCCAUGUCCUCCCAUUCACCCAUCUCUGCUCCCACCCUUGCCUGCAUCUAACCCACCACUGGCCAGCCCCCUUGCCCUGCUCUGGGCUGCUGAACACUGGUGCUGUGGUGGUUUUCAGGGUGAAUUCCUAGGCUAACCGUAUGGCCUAUAGUUUAAAAGGACAUCUAUGUUCACUGCCACUCCGAAAAAGGGAAUUAUUUCUCAGUCUUUCAAGGCUUGAGACUAAUAUAGGCCAUUGUGAUUCAGGAAGAAACCCAAGGUUGGAGGGUGGGAUGGGUACCCUCUGAAAAAGGGAAUUUGCUGGUGAAAAGAGGCUGGAUCUUGUGGAAGACUGUCUUGGAUGGGGAAGUACUACCUGGACAUUUCAAAUUCACUUGGCCUGCAGACAACAGAGUUAUCCGUGUCUUCCACAUGUGAAUGUCAUUGCAAGGGUGACUCUAGACAAACUACAAACCGAUGGACCGUCAAGCUCCCCAGGAGCCCCUUGGAUGGCAGCGUUGCUUCAGAGUGUUUCCUGUUUCUGGAAUUCCUUGUUAGGGAACUUUAAAGAAGAAAAGAAAAACUUGAAUUGUGUUGAAUUACUGUAUCUUUUACUUUUUUUUUUUUUUGAAAAGAUAAACUUGUAAAUAGAGUGAUUUGAAAUACUAUAUGGCAAAGUUUUAUAUUUGAUAUUCUUUAAGCUAGUUGCUCACACACUUAGGCUUCAAUUGCGGAAGAAGUAUGUUUAAGAGGGAGAGAGGGGAGGCAAAGCUGAAGAGAGUCAAGGUCACUGUCCCCCCUUCGGCCUGAAGGAAAGAGAAGACAUUUCUAUGGCCUUGCUCUCUGCUGUCCUGUUGGUGGGCACAACGCAUCAGUGGUGUUCAGUCUUUAUGUGUUUUUAAGCAUCCUUUGGGCUUUGGAUUUGGAGAUGGGAAGAGCAUCUCCAGGCAAUGAGUUUUUCAAAGACUGCCUACUUAGUAGUAAGAUGAAGCUCAGGAUUUAAAUAAGUGGGGUCAGGCAUUCGAGUUUUUGUCUUUCUUCUCAGGUGUAUUUCUUGGUACCCCCAAGAUAUCAGGCCAGAAAGAGAUGAGUCAAUUGUUGUGCUCUUCUUUUUCUCCACAUCUUCUGAGGCUUUAGAAAUGUGGACAAGCUAGUUUUCAAAUUUUGUGUGCGUCUGUAAGUUCUUAAAGAACCAGCUUCUUAGAAUGUUCAGUUCUUAAUGUGCUGCUGCUUUCCCUUCUCCUAAACAUUUUAAAACUCUUCUCUUUCACCUCCAAUUCCCUGUGAUCCCAAAAGAAGAGGAAGACUCCAGGAGGGAUAUAGAUUGUGCCAUCAUAGCUUUACAGGUGGUUUUAAAGUUAACAGGAGUUUGUCAUGGUGAUUCACUACUCAGUUUAUUAGCUCAAGGAUUAUACAGCUCUUUUCCAGGAACUCACCCAGGAGCAAGUGAGACACUACCAUUGAAUCAGGGAAUAAGAAUUAAGAAUGGACAGGACCAAGAUAGAACUCAAGAAAGCCACUGGGGAAAACUCAAGAAGAAAGGCAGUAUACUAAUAGGUUAGAUCUGUGAACUUGAGGACAAGAAGACUUUGGGAAAUGGGGGCCCCAGGGGAUGUGCAUUCACAUACUAUCGUGCUUCCCAAAGAGAGACCAACAUCAUGCAUUUAACACAUUUGAUGAGUUUUUUAUUUGUGUUUUUGUUUGUUUGUUUUUUGAAAUGGAGUCUCACUCUGUGACCCAGGCUGGAGUGCAGUGGUGCAAUCUUGGCUCACUGCAACCUCCACCUCCCAGGUUCAAGUGAUUCUCCUGUCUCAGCCUCCCAAGUAGCUGGGACUACAGGCAUGAGCCAUCACACCCAGCUAGUUUUUUGUAUUUUUAGUAAAGAUGGGUUUUUGCCAUGUUUGCCAGGCUGAUCUCGAACUCCUGACCUCAAGUGAUCUGCCUGCCUCAGACCCCCAAAGUGCUGGGAUUCCAGGUGUGAGCCACUGCGGCCGACCACCUUUGAUGUUUGAAGUUGUAAUCUGUCCCAUCAUAAACUUACCUGGAGCUCAUGUGGAGGAACAGAAGGCCAAGAUCCUUGCUAUGGGGGUGCGUCACGAAGCAUCCCUGUAGACACUUGGCCCCAGCUUCACUGCUUGGAAGCAUGUCCCUCCCUCUUGAGUUGGCUCUGAUUUGAAACCGGGAGAAACAGAGCUGCUGCCAAUGGGAUCUUUUAGGUACCCCCUCCCCAGCUUCUCUGUGGCUGUGCUGUGCCCUUGACAGAUGGCUGCUCUGUCUCCCUUUGCCCAGCCAGGCUCCCCUCCUUCCUAUUAGCUACAAAACUGGAUAAACUUCAGAAUAUGAGCCAAUGAGUAGGAAGGAACUUGAAGACUAGAAGAUUUUACUCUCUCCCCUAUCCAUGCCCCCUACCUCUGACGCUCUCUGUGUGAACAGCAAACUUUAGGGUAGAUGAGGAGAAUGAAUUGGUUAUCAGAGUGGAAGACCAUGGCCCAGGAUCCCUGAGCUUUCCCAAUAGCCUCCAGUUUCCUUUGUAAGACCCAGGGAUCACUUAGCCAUAGCCUGAAUCUUUUAGGAGUAUUAAGGUCAGCCUCUCACUCUUCCUUCAGGUUACUAACAAAAUUUCAUAGCUAAAGAAUAUCAUGGCUGGGUGCGGUGGCUCACGCCUGUAAUCCCAGCACUUUGGGAGGCCGAGGCGAGCAGAUCACGAGGUCAAGAGAUUGAGACCAUCCUGGCUACCACGGUGAACCCCGUCUCUACUAAAAAUACAAAAAAUUAGCCGGGCGUGGUGGUGGGCAUCUGUAGUCCCAGCUACUCUGGAGGCUGAGGCAGGAGAAUGGCAUGAACCUGGGAGGCAGAGCUUGCAGUGAGCCAAGAUCACGCCACUGCACUCCAGCCUGGGUGACAGAGCCAGACUCCAUCUCAAAAA